rnacentral:lncRNA from 1 species
AUUCUUCAGUGGUGAUUAAUGUGGAACAAACAGUACAAUGAAGCUACCGAGUGUCUUAAUGGUUGGGAUUUGUACAUAAGUUUUUGAGCUGCUGGAAGAAGUGGAAGAGGCUUUUGCUGAAACUGGAGAAUAUUGUGGAUGCUGCUGCUUAAAGCCAUUUGGAUUAUAUUCUCAUCUGACAUCAAGGUCCCGCAGCUAACGUAAGGAAUUUGCCAGAUCUUUUUUUGAUAUGUGGUUGCUGAAGCAUUAUUGCAGGACAGCAGUAAUGACUGAAGAACACCCUUCAGCUUUCCUUCAUGUGCAUAAUAAGGGAUUGCUAUUUGCUUGGAGAUUUCUCAAGCCCAUUUAA